AUUGAACGCUGGCGGCAUGCCUUACACAUGCAAGUCGAACGGCAGCACGGGAGCAAUCCUGGUGGCGAGUGGCGAACGGGUGAGUAAUGUAUCGGAACGUGCCCAGUCGUGGGGGAUAACGCAGCGAAAGCUGUGCUAAUACCGCAUACGAUCUAUGGAUGAAAGCGGGGGAUCGCAAGACCUCGCGCGAUUGGAGCGGCCGAUAUCAGAUUAGGUAGUUGGUGGGGUAAAGGCCCACCAAGCCUGCGAUCUGUAGCUGGUCUGAGAGGACGAUCAGCCACACUGGGACUGAGACACGGCCCAGACUCCUACGGGAGGCAGCAGUGGGGAAUUUUGGACAAUGGGCGCAAGCCUGAUCCAGCAAUGCCGCGUGCAGGAUGAAGGCCUUCGGGUUGUAAACUGCUUUUGUACGAGACGAAAAGACUCGCUCUAAUACAGUGGGUACAUGACGGUAUCGUAAGAAUAAGCACCGGCUAACUACGUGCCAGCAGCAGCCGCGG
rnacentral:rRNA from 1 species